rnacentral:rRNA from 1 species
AGUGAACGCUGGCGGCGUGCUUAACACAUGCAAGUCGAGCGAGAACGGGUUAUAGCUUGCUAUAAUUGUCAGCUAAGUGGCGCACGGGUGAGUAAUGUAUAGGCAAUAUGCCUCUUACUAAGGGAUAACAAAUGGAAACGUUUGCUAAUACCUUAUACUCCUUAUUAACAGAAGUUAAUAAGGGAAAGAUUUAUUGGUAAGAGAUUGGCCUGUAUUGUAUCAGUUAGUUGGUAGGGUAAUGGCUUACCAAGACUAUGACACAUAACUGGUUUGAGAGGAUGAUCAGUCACACUGGAACUGAGACACGGUCCAGACUCCUACGGGAGGCAGCAGUGGGGAAUAUUGCACAAUGGACGAAAGUCUGACGCAGCAACGCCGCGUGGAGGAUGACACAUUUCGGUGCGUAAACUCCUUUUAUAUGAGAAGAUAAUGACGGUAUUAUAUGAAUAAGCACCGGCUAACUACGUGCCAGCCGCCGCGGUAAAAC